rnacentral:lncRNA from 10 species
GCGGGGACCCGGGCCCCGCGGGCCUGCAGCGCCCCCGCACCCGGUUCCACGCGCCCAGGGCCGCCCCCGCGGAGAGAGGGGGCGCGAGGGGCGCGCCUCUCGCUCGGACACCCUCUCCCAGCUCGCGCCCCAGGUAACUUAAACCCAAUUAUAAAUGGCUUUGGCUAUAAAGUGUUCUUGAAUGAAAACGUUUAGGAAGUAGGCCUGGAUUCAGAUGCUUCAGAGGCUCAAAGGUUUUCUAAUUGUUUAUGGAGAAGAUUGAUCUUCACAAGCUAGUUUUUUCAUAGGCAAAAGCAAAAGUCUCUUCCUGUGUUAUUAAGUGAAAAUGGCUGAUUAUAAAAAGGGGCUUACAAACAAUAUUUAACAAAUCUUCAUCAAGUCCCUACUCUGUGGCAGGCCCUGGGUCAGGAGGUUGCCGAUUCCAGGAAGAAUCAGACCUUAUCCCUGCCCUUGAGUCUCAAGAAGAGGAAAGGAAAACAAAUAAGCAUAGUACAGUGUGAAAAGUGGGACUGUGGUCAAAUUUCAGUCUGCAAACUCAGAUCAUGAAAGAUAGUGUGGCUUCCACUUUGGUCUCUUAUAUCACCUACUGGGGGAAGCCAGCUGCCAUGUUGUGAGGACACUCAAGAAGCUCUGUGGAGAGGCUCUUUUGAAGGAGAACCAAUGCCUCCCACCAACAGCCAGCAUCAACUUGGGACAUGUGAGUGAACCAAUUGGAAGUGGAUCCUCCAGCCAAGUCAAGCCUUCAGAUGACUGAAGCCCCAGCCUCAUGAGAGAUAGCAGGCUAAAACUGCCCAGCUAAGCUGCUCCUGAAAUCCUGACCCCCCAAAUUAUAAAAGACAAUAAAUUAUUAUUGUUGUUUUAAGCCACUACAUGUUGGGGUGAUUCAUUAUGCAGCAACAGAUAAUAAAUACAUCACCCUUGUAUUCAUUACUGACGUUUAUUGGGAGCAUAGUGUGUGAUUUUUCAUUUAACCCUUCCAGUAAUGCUGUGAGAUAGGUAAGUUUAUUAUCCCCAUUUUACAGACAAAGAAACUGAGGUUCAGAAUGAGUGAAGUCUCUUCCCUGCAGAGUCCCUGACCUUAAGGAUUUUAUGGUCAGAUCUGAGAGACAGAAGCUCAAAAACCUAUGACUCUAGGCAAAAUAUGGCCCUGGGAUCCCAGGAUGGGGAGAGGAAUUUUGGAUUCUGGCUUCUACUUGGGCCUCAUAGCUUGGGAUGACAGAGGGUACACUCCAAAGGCAACAAACACCUUCCCUGCCCUUGAGCACCUGCUUAAUCAAGGGGAGAAAGUUCAGAUGCUUAUGCAUAAUGUGUGGUAUUUCUCUGCACAGAAACACACACGGGCCUGUACAGUAAUAAUGAAAAGCAACAACCCAUCUUAAGGGCUUGGCACUUUGCACUUACAAAGCCUUAUACAUCCCUAAUUCCAUGGAAUCACACCUGGCAGGUAAGCGUGGCCCUGUACACUUUACAGAUGGGGACACUGAGGUCAGGGAAGUUGUGUGAUUCUUGCAGAGCCAAGCAGCCUAGAAGUGGCAGAGUUCAGGUAAAACCCAGUAACUGGGUGUUUUACAAGUGCUAAGGGUAUGACAGGAGGUAGGCAGGGCUCCUCUGAGGGAGGUUUCAGGAAGAGGUCACCCGCGAGCAGGGUUCUGAGAAUGGGGAAGUGGCUUCGGGGAGAGGAUGGUGCCUGGGAGGGUUUGAGAGGAAACAGAGUGAGUCCCUAGGGGCUCCCAGGGUGUACGAGGGCAAAGAGGUGAACAUAGCUGGAGUGGAAAGAAUGAGAAAGCCUGGGUGUGUGGAAGAGCCUUGGUGUGUUAGGUGGAAUUGCAGCUGGAGGGUGUGUGCAGAAUGAGAGGUCUUGGUAUUGGGGCCAAAGUCAACUGCCACGCCUAAGGAGGGAGGAAGGCGCUUAUUUUGCUUCUUGGGUGAAAAUCAUUCCUGUGAUUUAGUUCUCCUUGGGGGAGGGGCGGGGUUUCAUCCAGCCUUAGCAAAUGCAUUCAAUCUUCACUACUUCUCUCUGUCAGAUGGGGUGGAUAGAGGUCCAAAUGUGGGCAGAAGCUUUUAUGUCCCAUCGCAGGGCAGCUAAGAACAGCUGCGCGGGUCGUUCACUGUACAUGGGCACUAGGCCAAAAGGGACUGAAAUCCGGACGGCCCUUUGUUUACUAAGCCAUGUGCCUGCAAGGCUGCACCUGCCCAGAAGGAAUGCUUCCUAUUUCUUUUCUUUAAAAAAAAAUUUUUUUUAUGAGCUAAAAUUCACAUAACAUAGAAUCUACCAUUUAAACCACUUUAAAGUAUAAAGUUCAGUGCUUUUAGUAUAGUCACAAUGUUGUGCAACCAUCACCACUAGCAGUUUUCGGAACAUUUCCAUCAUCCCAAAAAACAACUCCAUAACUCCUAAUUCCCCCCCUUUCCCCAUCUCUUGGCGACCAUGAAUCUGAACUUUCAUAUGAAUGGAGUUCUAUAAUUUGCUGUCUUCUGUGACUGUCUUCUUUCAUUUGGCAUUAAAACUUUUCAAGUUUUACCCAUGUUGUGGUAUGUGUCUGUACUUCAUUCCUUUUUAUGGCUCGAUAAUAUCGCAUUGUGUGAAUAUUCCACAAUUUGUGUAUCCCUUCAUGAGUUGAUGGACAUAUGGGUUAUAUCCACUGGCUGUUAAGAACAGGCGGGUCACGGUGGCUCACGCCUGAAAUCCCAGCACUUUGGGAGGCUGAGGUGGGCGGAUCACCUGAGGUCAGGAGUUCUAGAUCAGCUUUGCCAACACGGUGAAACCUUGUCUCUACCAAAUAUAUAAAAAUU